rnacentral:rRNA from 1 species
UACGGAGGGGGCAAGCGGUGUUCGGAUUUACUGGGCGUAAAGGGAGCGUAGGCUGCCGAUUAAGUCUGGUGUGAAAGCUUUACCACUCAACGGAAAGAGGUCACUGGAAACUGGUCGAGUAGAGUAUGGAAGAGGCAAGCGGAAUUACUGGUGUAGAGGUGGAAUGUAUAGAUUUCAGGAAGAACAUCGGUAGCAAAAGCGGCUUGCUGGGUACUAACUGACGCUGAGGCUUGAAAGCGUGGGGAGCAAACGGG